AAAACGACUCUCGGCAACGGAUAUCUCGGCUCUCGCAUCGAUGAAGAACGUAGCGAAAUGCGAUACUUGGUGUGAAUUGCAGAAUCCCGUGAACCAUCGAGUCUUUGAACGCAAGUUGCGCCCCAAGCCUUCUGGCCGAGGGCACGUCUGCCUGGGUGUCAGAA
rnacentral:rRNA from 1 species